AUUGAACGCUGGCGGCAGGCCUAACACAUGCAAGUCGAACGGUAGCACAGAGAGCUUGCUCUCGGGUGACGAGUGGCGGACGGGUGAGUAACGUCUGGGAAACUGCCCGAUGGAGGGGGAUAACUACUGGAAACGGUAGCUAAUACCGCAUAACGUCGCAAGACCAAAGUGGGGGACCUCCGGGCCUCACACCAUCGGAUGUGCCCAGAUGGGAUUAGCUAGUAGGUGGGGUAAUGGCUCACCUAGGCGACGAUCCCUAGCUGGUCUGAGAGGAUGACAAGCCACACUGGAACUGAGACACGGUCCAGACUCCUACGGGAGGCAGCAGUGGGGAAUAUUGCACAAUGGGCGCAAGCCUGAUGCAGCCAUGCCGCGUGUAUGAAGAAGGCCUUCGGGUUGUAAAGUACUUUCAGCGGGGAGGAAGGCGGUGAAGUUAAUAGCUUCACCGAUUGACGUUACCCGCAGAAGAAGCACCGGCUAACUCCGUGCCAGCAGCCGCAGUAA
rnacentral:rRNA from 1 species